rnacentral:rRNA from 1 species
UACGUAUGGGGCAAGCGUUGUCCGGAUUUAUUGGGUUUAAAGGGUGCGUAGGCGGCCUUGUAAGUCAGUGGUGAAAUACUCUAGCUUAACUAGAGGGGUGCCAUUGAUGCUGCAGGGCUUGAGUUAAGUUGAAGUUGGCGGAAUUGACGGUGUAGCGGUGAAAUGCUUAGAUAUCGUCAAGAACACCGAUAGUGUAGACAGCUUGCUAGGCUACAACUGACGCUGAGGCACGAAAGUGUGGGGAUCAAACAGG